rnacentral:rRNA from 1 species
GACGAACGCUGGCGGCGUGCCUAAUACAUGCAAGUCGAGCGCAGGAAACUGACGGAACUCUUCGGAGGGAAGGCAGCGGAAUGAGCGGCGGACGGGUGAGUAGCACGUAAGGAACCUGCCUCAAGGAUUGGGAUAACUCCGAGAGAUCGGAGCUAAUACCGGAUAGUUCAUCGGACCGCAUGGUCCGCUGAUGAAAGGCGCUCCGGCGUCACCUUGAGAUGGCCUUGAGGUGCAUUAGCUAGUUGGUGGGGUAACGGCCCACCAAGGCGACGGUGCAUAGCCGACCUGAGAGGGUGAUCGGCCACACUGGGACUGAGACACGGCCCAGACUCCUACGGGAGGCAGCAGUAGGGAAUCUUCCACAAUGGACGAAAGUCUGAUGGAGCAACGCCGCGUGAGUGAUGAAGGUUUUCGGAUCGUAAAACUCUGUUGUAAGGGAAGAACACGUACGAGAGGGAAUGCUCGUACCUUGACGGUACCUUACGAGAAAGCCACGGCUAACUACGUGCCAGCCGCCGCAGUAA